UCUUGUCUGUGGUUACGUUAAUCAAAAUCCUGAAACUUCUAACAGAGACAAGUCUACUUGUCUUUGCUUCUAAUUACUAAAACGGGUGAGCAGCUUUUGAUGUAUGAUGACAAAUUGCUUGGAUUUGAGUGAAAUUUUGUCUAUUUAAAGUCGGCUCCGUUGUUUUCUGCGAACAGUUGAGUGAAAGAGCUUUCUGAGAAGUUUUUUUAGGCGGGCUGGCAUUUGAUAAACAGUGCAACUUUAAACUUCAGGGUUUAUAAUCCCCGAAAAAAUCAGCUUUUACUUAGAUCUGAGUGAAAUAUUGUCCAUUUGAAGCUCGAUGUCUUGGUCACACCCAGUAGAAGUGAAAUAGAAAUGUUUUAAAGGCGUUUGAAAUUUUAUAGAAAUAUGUACUAAUCCUUACUCGAAAUAAUGUUAUCGAUUAAACACCAAUACCAACAUAAUGUGAUCAACAAGUUCCACAUAUCUUUGAUCUGGAUUCAACCUCCUUUAUGUGGUUGAGUUCUUCUUCGAACUCUUCGAGUUGGUCUAUAAAUAGUUCUUUAUAUUCUUAUGUUAUUAGUAGAAUAUGUAACGGUUAAAUGAG